UGGGGAAUUUUGCGCAAUGGGGGAAACCCUGACGCAGCAACGCCGCGUGGAGGAUGAAGUCCUUCGGGACGUAAACUCCUUUCGAUCGGGACGAUUAUGACGGUACCGGAAGAAGAAGCCCCGGCUAACUUCGUGCCAGCAGCCGCGGUAAGACGAGGGGGGCGAGCGUUGUUCGGAAUUAUUGGGCGUAAAGGGUGCGUAGGCGGUUUGGUAAGUCUGAUGUGAAAUCUAUGGGCUCAACUCAUAGUCUGCAUCGGAAACUGCCGGGCUUGAGUGUGGGAGAGGUGAGUGGAAUUUCCGGUGUAGCGGUGAAAUGCGUAGAUAUCGGAAGGAACACCUGUGGCGAAAGCGGCUCACUGGACCACAACUGACGCUGAGGCACGAAAGCUAGGGGAGCAAAC
rnacentral:rRNA from 1 species